UCCACUCUCCUUAGCCCGCAUGCGCUAUCCCGGCUGUGUUGAUAUCUCUGUGGCACAUGCGCAGGACUUCGUAGCUUCGCCCAGGAUAAGGAGGAAAAUAAUUUCUUAUUUUAAUUUUUUUGAAAAAACAAUAAAAAAAAGUCCGAGCAAAAGCCGCAAAUAGGAAUUGGAAAAGUGAGGCUGUUGUGGAUUUCGCGUGCCGCGUUGGCAGUGUCAUGAAUUGUAGCCUGCUGGAAGGGGAAAAAUACCAUGUCAGCGUUGAAGAAGAUACCACGUAUUCUGCAGAAGCAUUGCUGUAUUUUACCUCAGACGAACACAGUUCUGUGGAGCUGGUGUGUUCUGUGAAGGCCAUUGAUGAAGAACAUCCACAUGGCACCUUUAUGCUUAGAUAAAAUGAAAGAUUCUCUCUCGUCGAUUGCUGGAAGCAAGUUGUAAUUCAACGAAGUCACUGAUGAAACAGGACAACUCACUUGGACUAACUUGCAGAAUCAAGAAUCCCUAGACCACCUGCUCACCUGCCAAUGUCAAAUCAACUGGAACCACCUAACUUAAAGGCCAGGACUACUUGUAGACCAGUCAAAGACUGAUUUUUUUUUUCUCUAUUAUGAGUUUUCUCACUUCUCAUUUCUAAUCUAUAUAAAUAUAUAUUGAACUUCAUUAGUUUUCUUCAUAUUCUAGUAAUUAGUAAACUCACUCUUUCCUUAAUCCAAGAAACCCUGGUUAAAUUGGCUCCUAUUAACAUCCAAAUAUAUUGGCACUGUAAAUGUUACUUCUGAAGAAAGGAAUCUGUUGUGUUAAAUUAAACUUGUCAUGACCAACAAAGAUGAGGGACUGUUGAAUAAAGAAGGGUAACCAGUUCCCCCUUCUCACAUGUGGCUACAAUGUU